UAAAAAAUGAACGAGUAAACACAAAAAUAUACCUAAGUAAACACAUGCGACUGAUAUAAAAUAAUUCGACCUGUGAAUGACAAAUCGAUUAAGAAACUAAUAAAUAAAACUCUCUAUCACGUUGUUUAUCCCGACAAUUUGCUGACCCAAUGUGACUUUGGCGUCGUAUAUAUUCCUCAACAAAACCGGAGUGAGUAGAGUUACUUUCUCAGUUAAGCACACGUUUUGUAGUGGACCACUCCUGCCCCACCUGUGCACCGUACAUCGUCAUAAAGAAGCAUCGGAUUUCAGGCUAGCAGCUCUCUUAUUAAUUUGUAGCUAUGAACCCCUCAGCAGACUCCAACAAGGGGGUAACUCGUGACGUCAUGGAUUCUAUGAAAAAGGCUGGGACCGAUACGACCAAGGCCGUGACUGACGCGGGAGAAACCGUGGUCAACGCCGUCAAACCUGCGAAGAAGAGCGCGGCUGAUAAAAUGGCUGAAGGAGUUAAGAGCCUAGGGGAGUAGUAUGUAGUUGUAGAAAGUAAUAUACGAACCAUUGUCUUGUCCUAAAAAAUUUGUUUAUCUUUUAACUAAGAAUUUCUUUAAAUUUCAUGUGUGUGAAUUUCCUGAAAAAUUCAAAGUGUACCAUUUAUGGUGUUUUUACUGUUAUGUACAAAGGUUUCGUCAACUGUAGAAAGAAUAUUUUGCAAGAAUGUAUUCUUGUUCUUGUAUCAUUGAAAUUGUGUUACUAAAAUCUAAGCAAUGCUGUAAAAAACAAUUAAGUACAUCAACUUAACUUAGCUCUUUGUAAUUGCGCAUUUUUAUGUUAAUAUAUUAAAUAACAUUUGAUAAUAAAUGAAAACAUAAAUAA